GAUCCCGUUCGGGUUUCUAAUAUAUAUUAUGCUAUCCAUCCAUCCAUGAUCCAUCUACUUCGCCCCCUUAGAUGUCGCAUUCUUUCUCUUCAAUCUCAAGGCUUUGAACAAAAUCCAACUUCUUCAACGCUCUCUUUUAUUUGAACAACAAACAAACUUGGUUUUAUUCAAGAAGAGAAAUGGUUGGUGGAAAAAUCAUUUAGUGGUGUCUUUCAUUCUUCCUUUAUGCUUGAAGAAAACAGUGAAUAAAUGAAAUGGUGUUCAAAAACAAGCUCUUCUUCUCUUCGAAGAAAUCGGAUUCUGACGGAUCAAACAGCCCUCGAUCUGCUUCCAAUUCCCCCAUCCGAUCGGACAAGAAGAAACCCAAAGCUUCUACUUCCCAACAGGCUUCCACUUCCAUUUCCACUUCCCUUUUCUCUCCCGUUGCUUGCAAGCAAACCCAAGUAAAAGAUGGACCUAGAAGCAAGGACCUCAAACCCCGAACACCACCUUCUAAGCCCUCUUCUUCUUCUACCUCCAAGAAGCCCGAUGCCAAGGACAGGUCCUCCUCUGAGUCGCCCCUACUAGCCUCCUCCUUGGGUUUGAACCGGAUUAAAACCCGCUCUGGCCCCUUGCCGCAGGAGACAUUUUUCAGCAUCCGAGGUGAGAAAAGUGCAGUGGCUUCAGUGCUCGGAGCUAGUAACUUGUCUAGGCCGGGAGGUUCCAGUAGUAGUGGCGAUGGUAGUUCGUCGAAAUCAGGUUCUGGGAAGAAAGGCGUAUUGACCAAGAGGUUGUUGCAAGACAGUUUGCUUGAUAAAGUGAGCAAUUCGGAUAGUAUUUCGCCUGGGAGUGGUGGUGGUUGGCACUCAAGAGAGCAGAGUCCUGGUGUGCAAGGGAAGUCACGGUUGCAGAACGGGGAAUCAUCUUCAGGUGCUGGGCAAGACGAGUCAUCACUUGGGCACUCUGGAGGCUUAAAAAGUUCAGAUUUUUGUACACCAGAGAUUUCAUUUGAUUGUGAAAACCCAAAGGAAUCUGAAUCGCCCCGUUUUCAAGCUAUUCUUCGUGUUACAAGUGGUCCUCGGAAGAGGUUCCCUGCUGAUAUUAAGAGCUUUUCCCAUGAAUUAAAUUCCAAAGGCGUACGACCAUUUCCGCUUUGGAAACCUCGACGCUUAAACAACUUGGAGGAAACCUUGGUUGCUAUUAGAGCAAAAUUUGACAAAGCAAAGGAGGAAGUGAACUCUGAUCUGGCUAUUUUUGCAGCAGAUCUUGUUGGAGUUCUAGAAAGAACUGCUGACAGUCAUCCUGAGUGGCAGGAAACUAUUGAGGAUUUGCUGGUUUUGGCUCGAAGCUGUGCUAUGACACCACCUGGUGAGUUUUGGCUUCAGUGUGAAGGCAUUGUUCAGGAGCUAGAUGAUAAGCGUCAAGAACUUCCUGCAUGUGUGCUGAAGCAGCUUUAUACCCGGAUGCUUUUCAUUCUUACAAGGUGUACAAGACUGUUGCAGUUCCACAAAGAAAGUGGGUUGGCUGAGGAUGAACCUUUGGUACAACUUCGCCAAUCUAGAGUCCUGCAUCCUGUAAACAAUAGAAAAUUUUCAGGUGUUCUAAGAGAAGCAAAAAGUUUGAGCUCAUCAAAGGCAUCAAAAGCAGCCUUGUCUAAGAAAUCUUAUAGUCAGGAGCAACAUGCCUUGGAUUGGAGUAAGGACCAUGUUGUCCUGCCAGGAGGUUAUGUUGCUCCCAUUGAUGACACGCCAAAGAACUUGGAGUCUCCUGCGAGCAUAGACAAAAUAACUUCUUGGAAGAAACUCCCAACACCUGCCAGAAAAGGUCCAAAGGAAGUUACUGCUGUUAAGGUGCAGCAUAAUAGCACAAGUGAAACUCUGAAAAGAACUGGCACAUCUGAUGUAGAUCUGGCUUCUAUUAAGCUUCAGGAGCUUCCUGCUGCAAAAGAAUCUGAAGGGCAGCCUUGUAAGCAUCAACACAAAGUUUCAUCGGGUUCUCGGGGAGACCAACCGACUGCUUCUGAAGGAAGUUCUAUAAUAUGCCGCAUUUGUGAGGAGGAGGUUCCCACCUCAAAUGUGGAAGAUCACUCAAGAAUAUGUACUGCUGCUGAUCGAUGUGAUCAGAACGGCUUAAGUGUUGAUGAACGUCUUGUAAGAAUUGCUGAAACACUUGAGAAGAUGGCAGAUUCCUUUGCUAAUAAGGAUAUCCAACACUUACGGAGCCCAGAUGUUGCAAAAGCAUCAAAUUCGAGUGUGACUGAAGAUUCUGAUGUUCUAUCUCCUAAACUAAGUGAUUGGUCUAGGAGAGGUUCAGAAGACAUGCUUGAUUGUUUCCCUGAAGCUGAUAAUUCAGUUUUUAUGGAUGACCUUAAGGGUUUGCCUUCCAUGUCAUGCAAAACUCGCUUUGGCCCAAAGUCUGAUCAAGGAAUGACAACAUCUUCUGCAGGAAGCAUGACUCCUAGAUCUCCUUUAUCGACACCAAGAACUUGUCAGAUAGACUUGUUAUUGUCAGGCAAGGGUGCUUUCUCUGAGCAAGAGGAUCUUCCACAGAUGAAUGAACUUGCUGAUAUUGCCAGAUGUGUAGCAAAUACACCAUUGGCUGAUGAUCGAUCCAUGCCGUAUUUGCUAUCUUGUCUUGAUGACUUGAGAAAUGUCAUAGACCGCAGAAAAUUUAAUGCACUUACAGUGGAAACAUUUGGGGCACGCAUUGAGAAACUGAUCAGGGAGAAGUACUUGCAGCUUUGUGAGCUAGUCGAGGAUGAAAAAGUUGAUAUAGCUAGUACUGUCAUUGAUGAGGAUGCUCCCUUAGAGGAUGAUGUGGUUCGUAGUUUGAGAACUAGCCCUAUUCUUUCAUCGAAGGACCGUACCUCCAUAGAUGACUUUGAGAUAAUAAAACCAAUUAGUCGUGGAGCAUUUGGACGUGUUUUCUUAACUAAAAAGAGAACAACAGGGGAUCUUUUUGCUAUAAAGGUUCUAAAGAAGGCAGAUAUGAUUCGUAAGAAUGCAGUUGAAAGUAUAUUAGCAGAGCGUGAUAUUUUGAUUUCAGUCCGCAACCCAUUUGUGGUUCGAUUUUUCUAUUCAUUUACUUGCCGUGAGAACUUGUAUCUUGUGAUGGAGUAUUUAAAUGGAGGAGAUUUAUAUUCAUUGUUGAGAAAUUUAGGCUGCUUGGAUGAAGAGGUUGCUCGUGUGUACAUAGCAGAAGUGGUGCUUGCAUUGGAGUAUUUACAUUCUCAGCAUGUGGUUCAUCGGGAUCUGAAGCCUGAUAAUUUGUUGAUUGCACACGAUGGUCAUAUCAAGUUGACUGAUUUUGGGCUUUCAAAGGUUGGUCUCAUCAACAGCACUGAUGACUUAUCUGGUCCAGCAGUUAGUGGCACAUCUCUACUUGAUGAUGAGCAGCCUCAGUUAUCUGCAUCUGAGCACCAGCAAGAGAGGCGGAAGAAACGGUCUGCUGUUGGAACGCCUGACUAUUUGGCACCAGAGAUUCUUCUGGGAACAGGACAUGGUGCAACAGCGGAUUGGUGGUCUGUGGGUGUCAUUCUGUUUGAACUGAUUGUUGGCAUUCCACCCUUCAAUGCAGAACAUCCGCAGACAAUAUUUGAUAAUAUUCUCAACCGUAAAAUACCUUGGCCAAGGGUGCCUGAAGAAAUGAGCCUAGAAGCACAUGAUCUAAUUGAUCGACUGUUGACAGAAGAUCCCCAUCAGAGACUUGGAGCCAGAGGAGCAUCGGAGGUGAAGCAGCAUGUAUUUUUCAAAGAUAUCAACUGGGACACUCUUGCAAGGCAAAAGGCUGCCUUUGUUCCUAGUUCGGAGAGUGCACUUGAUACUAGUUACUUUACUAGUCGCUACUCGUGGAAUCCUUCAGAUGACCAUGUUUAUCCUGGUAGUGAACUUGGUGAUUCUAGUGAUGCUGACAGUUUAAGUGGCAGUAGUGGUUACCUGAGCAACCACCAAGAUGAAGGAGAUGAAUGUGGAGGUCUGACUGAAUUCGAGUCCAUUUCAUCGGUCAAUUAUUCUUUCAGUAAUUUCUCAUUUAAGAAUCUGUCCCAGCUCGCAUCUAUUAACUAUGACCUGCUUUCUAAAGGUUGGAAGGAUGAUCAUCCGGCAAAUAAUUCGAAUGCAUAGGAAGCUGCUCCUCUUUGUGAGAGCUGCGUUUUAUUUUUUAUUUUUUACAUUAGAUCACUGGUAUUAUUUAACGAGCCUCAUCACCAGAGCUGUCUGUAUACCCUGUUCAUAGAUAGAAGAAAACUUGGGAUUGUAACCUUUUCGGAAUUUUGCUGUUUUCGUAGGUAAGCAACUUUGUACUGGGAUUUCAGUUUUACCAUUCACCUGCUUUGACUCGGAUAACCAUGAUGAAUCCUAAUUUAGUGGACCCUAACUUACUCGCCCGCAGUGUCGGUGGUGUAAAAUGUGAUUUUCUCCAUAGUCUUCAGGGUAAUGAAAACACAUCCCUCUAUGUUCAGUCCAAAAGUUGUCUGUCAUUGGUGGUUGUAAGAAUCAUCCAAUGCCUCUUGAGAAGCAGUAAUUUUUGCCUUGCAAGGUAGAAAAUGUCAGCUCUAAGUCUAUAUGUUAUAUAUUGAUGGCCUUAUACUUGUGUGAAUCAUUAAAUAUGUUUUAAGUUAAUAUAAAUAUAAAAUAUCUUAAUAUGAUAUGGCAUGAUAAAAUAUAAGAAUGCCUAGUUUAUGUAACAUGUAUUAUAAAUAUUUUAUGGUUAAAUUAAAACUUCAAUACGAUCCUAAUAUUACAAA